GAUGCUGCCUUGCACUUAGGGAAGGUUCACAUGCCUCAAGGAUCUCUCUCUCUCAGAUUUCUUGACUUUCCCUCAGUCUUCAGUAUAGUCCUCCUCUGUGCCUGGUGAAGACCUGUGGUAAAGUGCUGGCAGAGCUGCCGGCUUCCCCUUGAAGGAAUAGGAGUAGACCUGCUGAACUAUCACAUGAGAGAAGAGGCCCAAAAGCUUGCACACUACAGUCAAGCUGGCCCUUAAAGAGAUGGACCUAGAAGAUGCUGAGCCAGAUGUACUCAAUUACUUCUCCAAAAUUCAUCAAUUAGAACUGCUUCUUGCUGCCGCCAUAUGAAGAAGGACGUGUUCGCUUCCCCUUCCUCCAUGAUUGUAAGUUUCCUGAGACCUCGCCAGCCAUGCUGAACUGCCACCCACGGCUACCCAUGGACCAAUCAGCACAUACUUUCUCUCCUCUGAGGCCCAUAAAAGCCCUGCGCUCAGCCAGAACUAAGCAGAUAUCUGGAUGACCAGCUGCAGAAAGGAGCUACUCAUUCCAGGGCCUCCUCUCUGCUGAGAGCAGCAGACAUCAGGAUGACCAGCUGCAGAGAGGAGCUACCCACUCCAGGGCCUCCUCUUUGAUGAGAGCUGCAGAGACAGUGGGACAACCUGUCUGCAGAGAAAAGGAGCUGAACACUCAUCUGGACACCCUGGCUGCAGAAAGGAGCUGCCCCCUGCAGGUCUCCCCUGAGCUGUUCUAUUGCCCAAUAACGCUCCUCUUCGUCUUGCUCACCCUUCACUUGUCUGCAUAUCUCAUUCUUCCUGGUCACAUGACAAGAAGUCGGGACCCACUGAAUGGUGAGGCUAAAAGAGCAGUAACACGAACAGGCCUGAAACAUGUCCCUUGCUUGCCAGGUUGCGGGAGAAGAAAAGGAGAGAAGAGUUGUGGCCCUUUGGGGAUCCCAGACCUAGGAGUUCCCCAAGCCAGGGCUGUGACUCCCUCUUUGGGAUCCUGUGGUUCCUGGCAUCUCCAAGAUUCCAGGUGCCACCACAUUCCUUAGUGCCAGCUGUGGAAGCUGCUUAUGGUGCCCCUGGUCUGGCUGUAGCCUUGCAGAGAGCCAGCCCCAGUGCCAGCACCUGGAGUUCCCACCCCACUGCAGCAGUUGGUGUGUCUGACUGUGCACAGUGGCCAGACCCCACACUCACUCACACACCCCUCACUGUUCCAUGCCUGACUCGCCCUUGGCAGGCAUGGAUACACGCCCUUGGCAAGCAUGAGACCCAGACCAGUGGUAUGAGCCGAGUGCAGCCUACUGGCCAAGUGGGCGAAAUGAGCCCAGUGGGCCCAAGCAAAACUGCCAAAGGUGUCAUCGGCCACAGAGGUUUCCAGCCAGGAAAUGGACAUCCCGAAGAUCCCAUAACAAAAUCAAAUGUUAACAGUUUAAUAACAUGUUCUCCACUGAUUUUACUUGACUAUAUUUUAUUUCUCUUUGGAUUCAAGUAAUAGUUGAUUACAUUUUGCUUUAUGUUAAAUGCCUUUGUCUUUUUCUACUUGUUAGGUUAUAAACAUCUUGAGAGCAAGGACUAAAUCUUACUUAUCUUUAUUAAGAACUAACAGUGGAACACACAGAAAAUCCAUGGAUAUACUGUCAGACUGUCACCAAAUAUACAUUCAACAUUUUUCUUACUUGUGAGACUGAUUUUGAGAAAAUUUGCUAUCACAGAAUCACUAAACUUUAGAGCAGGUAAAGACUCCUGCAAUGAUUUUAUUUACUUGCUAUAUUUUACCAAUAAGAAAACCGAGGCAUAGAGAAGUUGAGACUUUCUACACACCAGUGCCUAGUCUUCAUGAUGCUUAUGCCCAACCCUGAGUCCUUUCCUCUAUAUAAUCCUGCCUCAUUACAUUUCUGAAAGACGGAGAAGUUUUAUAACAACAAGAUGAAAGACUUUGGAAGUUUACAGAGGCUAUCAGGCUAUCUUCUCAUAGACCCAUCAUUUGUCCAGCAGAAAGAGACUAAAAAGGCUUAUAAGAAUAUCAAGACCCCAAUGUUGUACUUAUGGUUUGAC
ensembl:lncRNA LINC01088 long intergenic non-protein coding RNA 1088